GUGCUCACUUUGCAGCACAUAUUGGAAUGAUACAGAGCACACAUUAGCAUGUCCCCUGUGCAAGGAUGACAUGCAAAUUCCUGAAAUGUUUCAUAUUUUU
ensembl:snRNA U6 U6 spliceosomal RNA